UUCCGAGUUCCCUGACUCCAAGCAGUGUUCAGUGAGCUCUGGUUAGUGGCUCAGUAGGAAGCACAGGGUUGUAGAUGGGUCAUAGACUGGUGGGAACAUACACUUCUCUGCUAUAAGUUCAUGAUUUAUUUAGCUAAAAACAGAGCAUGUAAGGUAGCUGUUCAGUAGCAGUAGAUGCAACCUGUUUUUCUGUGGCUUUUCCUUCGCCCUUGGGUUUCCAACUAAGAGCACAGCAAAGUGAACUCAGGGAAUAUUUACCUCCAUUAGACACUCUUGGUUGUUGAGCCAAACUCAGCAUUAUCAAGAAUUCCUCCUCACCUAGAUGAGAAGACUAUGGCUCCAAGAUAAAGUGAAAGACCCAAAGUCACGUAGUUUGAAGGUGGAGGAGCCAGUAUCCAAAUCCAGUAUCAGCCGGAAGACUGCCCCUGCCUCUGCCCCAGGGCUAUGGGGAAUGGACUAGGAUGUCCUAAAACGUGCAACAUCUGCCUAAAUGAGGAGAGGGUACUCAGCGAAUAUGAAAUAUCUGAUGAGUCACUUAUCUGAUGAGUUAAGUGAACCCCACUCAUCCUGGAGUUUCUUAAGACAAAAUGGGGAAAUGCAAGAUUCAAAAACACAAAUAAUGAAUUUCAGGAGAGUCAAGGCAUUUCUUGCAAGAUAUAUGGCGAUGUUCUUCUAUGUCAGAUUAAAAUAGGACCUAAAAAGCACUGGUCUCAGUGAUACCUAUUUAUUUCAUUUUGCUCUGAAAUUUUCAGAAGCUAGAAAAAUACACACAAUUUGCACCUGAUCAAUGCUCUGCGAACUGCCUGCAGGAUUGUGUUCAUACCCCAGUAAGAUUUAUUGCUAACCAACAUGCCAUGCUAAAUUGAAAUCAAGAUAUUACACAAUUUUCCAAUAAAGAGGUAAUUUUAUAAGUUGGUAUAAAUGCUUUGUGAGGAUGUAAUUGUUGGCAUCUUGUUAUAUUUCAAUAGCUGGUGGAAAAUGAGAUAAGUUGGAAGGUUUACAGAGGGUCAGAGCUCAUUAGAUGAGAAGAUCAUCUUUUUUUUCAGCUCUAGAAAGCACAUUUAUAGGCUGAUAAACUGUUAUUCUUUAACAGUUGGAACAGUCAGUAUUUCCAAAACAUUCCAACUAAGUACAGCUACUGCAGAAGAUUCUACUAAAACACUAUGAAAUGAAAGGAAAAGAAUCCUUGGGGUUAACUGCCUUUAUGAAUCUUGAUUUGAUAUUUAUCUUUUCUGAGUUUUUACUAAGAACUGAAAAUACAACAUCCAUCUACCUGCAUAUUUUUCUUUUUUUCCACCUUUAUUGAGAUAUAAUUGACAUAACAUUGUAAGCAUGAUAAUCAUUCAUUUUAAAAUAAGUCAGUUUCUUUUUCAGCCUAUUUAGAUUUUUCUAAUUGAGGAUUCAAAUUUAAAUAAUAGACAUAAAAUUCUUCAGUUGUUACUUAGUAUUUAAAAUGUCACAAAAGAGCCUAUCUUAUUAAGUUGUCCUAUGCAUUCUGUGGGCAUUUAAAGACAGACCUUUCUCUCUACAACUUUAAAUGCACUUCUCAGGGAACAUUUGGAUAUCCAAACUCCUAUUGUUAAAAACUCUCAAGCUAUUAGUGCCAAAUCCAUCCUUCAAUUCAACUUGUGAGUAAAGAAACGCUAAGUGGAAGCAGGAGGCAAGUCCCUGUUCCUGCUCUCAUGGAAAUGAUUUAGGAUGUACCGUCAGACCUAGAGCUCAGGCCUCUUGACUCCCAGCCUUCAGCUAGCAUUACCCCCAUAAACUGUGAUUCAUUCUUUGCUAAGCAGACUUAGACCGUGUUAUAUCAUAGCCCCCAAACCUUCCAAGAUUUGCAACCUCCACUGUAAAAACUAAUUUAGGUGAGGAUACUGAAACCACUGUGUGACAGGCAGAAUAAUGCAUCCCCACCAACACCACCAGUGUCCACUUCCUAAUGCUAAGAACCUGUGAAUCUGUCACCUUAUAUGGCAAAGUGACCCUAUAGGUGUGAUUAAGUUAAGGACUUUGAGAUGGGGAGAUUAUCCAGGAUUAUCUAAGUGGCUCCAACCUAAUCACAUGAAUCCUUUAAAAGCUGUCCAGGCUGUGGUCAGAAUCAGAUGUGAUUACGGAAAAAUGGUCUGAGAGAUGCAGUACUGCUGGUUUUAAAGAUGAGGGAGGGAGCCAGAGCCAAGGAAUUUAGGCAGCACACAGAAGCUGGAAAAGGUGAUAAAACACAUUCUUCCCCUAGAGACUCCCCUGCCCACACUUUGAUUUUAACCCAAUGGGACCCAUGUUGGAUUUCUGACCUAUAGAACCAUAAGACAAUAAAUCUGCAUUGUUUUAAGACACUAAGUCCGUGGUAAUUUGUUGUAGCACUAAUAGGAAAUAAUAGACACAAAUGAAAAGUUAUUCACAUGGUCUAAGUAUCACUCUACAAAUUACUUACUAACUACAAAAAAGAAAACAUGUCAUUAUAAAGAUAGAUCUAACAGAUAAGCACCUUAACCAAAUGGCCAAAUAAGCACCACCAGUAAUGACACAAUCUAAAAGGAUAUUAUCUCCUGACAGGACAAGAGGAAAUACACAUCACUCCCACAAU